GGGAAGGUCUGAACUCCUCAGCGUCUCACUCCUGUCAGCUUCCAGCGUGACAGACGCACAAAGGAGGAGGAACUGGGACCUGAGAAUAGCUGUGGGAACGAAAGGGGAUGGCUGGAGGAAGGAAGCUGAAUUUAUCUGAGUACCUACUUCGUGCCAGUUCCAGACAACAUUUCAUCACUUCUGGCAGUUCCAGAGACCUCUGAAUUUGUGAGAAGAAAGAUUUGCUGGGAAGUGACUUCUCUCCUGCGGCCAGUGUUUGUUUCUAGACUCAGCUCUGCAGACUUUGGGCAUUUUGCCUUGGAAGGAGGAGGAUUAUGGCAGGAGAGACCUCAGUCCUCAGGCCUGGAGCAGAAAUGGGAGAGUUCCCACUACUUCCUGGUCGACCAGUGGUUUGCAAAGAGGAGGUUCCCAAGAAGAGGACAAAGAACAAGAGCUGAAAAAGGAAGAAGAACAUGGGGUCCAGGAGGACUACAAGAGGCAGGGCAGCCUGGACCAGCUCCCCUCUAUAGCGCUCUUGGGGAUCUUGGGUUUUUGCGCCUUUUCCCUUCCUACUUCCCCUGCUCUGUCUCCAUCCCAGGCCCUGCCACUUUCCGCACUAGAACCAGCUUCCUCGCAUGUGAGAGAAUCUUGGGGUACAGACCAGGCAGAGAGAAAGUGAGUGACACUCACACCAUCUCACUUUACCAGUUCAGCACAGACUUGAAUGCAUUUCUUCAAGGUCGUCUGAGUUUUCUUCCUUUCAAGCCAGCUGAGAUUUUCUCUAGCCUACGCGCUUUACCAGCAUGUAUGUGGUUCUCUCUUGUUGGGUUACAGGAGCGGCAAGGUCCCUUUCUGACUGACCUUGAGGAAACUGUGUGGCUUGGUUUUAGAAGUCCCUGGAACUCCCGUUCAGAGUCACACGGGUGAAGAUUGAGGAGGGGGUGACAGGGAGCUUUGGUGCCUCAGAGCUGCAGUUAGGGGGGAUCCAGACAGUCCAGAUGGCAGAAAUGUUCGCUCCACAAUUGUUUCUCCGACAGAACCAUGGGAGUCAGUGUAGACCCACAGUCAGUGUGUUCAUGCCUAUGGGCAUGUUGGGUGGGUCAGGGGCUGCGUGAUCUGAUUGGCUCAUGAUGACUGGUCUCUACCCACCAGGCUCAAAUUUCUUGAUGUCUUUAUGGUGAUACUCCCUGGCAUUUCCUUCUGCAUACACACUAUCUUGUCAAAAAUUCUCAUUUAAGCCAUCUCUCUGACCCCAAUGUGUUUGGUUUUUUUUUUUGUUGUUGUUUGUUUGUUUUUUUUACAAAUCUUAAGUGUAUGUUGGGUUUUGGCAAAUAUAUACCAAGUAUUUUUAAAAUAUUAUUUUCUCUUUCAAUAGUUAUUGCUUUGUAUUUUAAAAACUCUUUUACAAUUGUACUUUAAAAUUACUUCAAUGGUAUAUUUAAAUGGUUUUGGUAAUCACUGUGAGUUCCGACCCAGGAUCUUUUUCCUUAAAAUUUUAGCAUCCUGAGAAUUGUCACUACAGUGACUUUAGCCCACCUGGGGCACCUGAUCACAAGCCCUCAGUGGUGCCCUUUUGCUUCUCCAGGACUGGAAUUGCCUUGGUCCUUGGAUCUGACAAGGAGACAAAGAGGGGCUCUGGGUCCAGGGCCUGGCACAUGGAGACAGGCUGGGCUGAUUGGUCUCUGAGAAGCUGAACGUGCCCUCCACCAGGGUGUGAAUAUUCUCCAGAAGGACACUUCCUCUUUUCCAGUGGGGUUUUCUGGAUACGCCUGGUAGAGAGCAGUGGUCUUCUGUUUAACCCACCAUGUGUGUGAGUGUGCGUGUGUGAAUACUUGUCGUAUUGAAAAAUUUCAAACUUUACACAGCAGUUUCUUUCUCACCAGGGUCUCUGCUUGUGUGAAACUUUAAUUUUACAGCUUUGGCUGUUAAUUCAUCAUGGGCACCAACAUCAAUAAAUAUUUAUUGGGUUUUCAC
rnacentral:lncRNA from 1 species